AUGGGGUGCUGCAGGAUCGGGGACCGGUCAAACGUCGGCGUGGGCACGAGCCCCCCUGCCGCGGCGGCGCCCUCCCUCUCCCGCGCCGCCGUCGACCACGCCCGCAUGAACUGCCACACGGCCUGGCCGUCGGCGACCGCGUGCAGGAUGGUCACCCCUACCGCCACGGCGCCGUGGCCCGCGGCCGGCCUGGUGACCUGCACGGAGAGAACGCGAGCCGGCAGCUGCGUCACGUCCAGGUCAGGGACAAGCUGCGAGAACGCCUCGGUGUCAUGGUCCUCCUCGCGGGCCAGGCGGCGCAAGUCGUCGGCGCUGCCCAAGUACUCUGCCUCCACGAACCUGACGCCGGAGGAGACCGCGGCCUGGGAGCAGUCAACGACGACGGCGCCGGAGGAGGGGCGGAAGGCCAGCUCGCCGGCGAGCGGGAAGAAGACGCGAGGGUGUCGGCGAGAGAGGACCUGA
rnacentral:rRNA from 1 species